rnacentral:rRNA from 1 species
CUCGGAGUUUGAUCCUGGCUCAGAUUGAACGCUGGCGGAAUGCUUUACACAUGCAAGUCGAACGGUAGAGGGGGCAACCCUUCGAGAGUGGCGAACGGGUGAGUAAUAUAUCGGAACGUGCCCAGUCGUGGGGGAUAACGUAGCGAAAGUUACGCUAAUACCGCAUACGAUCUAAGGAUGAAAGCGGGGACCGUAAGGCCUCGCGCGAUUGGAGCGGCCGAUAUCAGAUUAGGUAGUUGGUGGGGUAAAGGCUCACCAAGCCAACGAUCUGUAGCUGGUCUGAGAGGACGACCAGCCACACUGGAACUGAGACACGGUCCAGACUCCUACGGGAGCAGCAGU